GGUACAGGUUCGCACGGGUCUGCUGCGGUUCUGAGACUGGAGGCCCGAGUGGGUCGGGUGGGCCUCCCGGCUCCCCCGACCCAGUCGGAGUUUCGGGGAAGUCGCGGGAACGUCCCUGGUGUUCCUGGACGCCGUGCUGGGCCUCCUCCUUCCCCCCUCGCCCCAGAGAACUGACCCGCGACGUCACGGACACCCCCAGCCCGGGAGAACCCGAGCAGUGCCACCUGUGGGUGACCGGGGUCUCUUGUCGCAAUUAGGGACCGCACCUCCCCUUCCGCUAAAUGGUGGCGAACCAGGUGGGUGACGCGGUGCGGUGGAGCGAAGCAACGAGUUUUACCAAAAGAUUUUCAGAUCUGUACUAGAGAUUGUCCUCUGUGAAAUUUCUUCUUAACUGCCUGGAAGAUUUCAUGAAACUAGGACCCACUGUUCAUACCUUCGCCUUGCACCUAGCUGGGAGACUCUCAUCAAAUUACCAAGAGAGAAAUUUCUUACCAAAUGGCAGAGCAUUAGGCAUCAGGUGUUACAAAACCCCAGCUGUCAUCCAUGGAACUAACAGGAUGUUAUGAGAAAUAUCCUGGCAACUCCUAUCCAGUACUGUGACUCAAGACUUAAUAUUGGGCACUUCCCUGGUGGCGCAGUGGCUGGGAAUCUGCUUGCCAACGCAGGGGACACAGGUUCGAGCCCUGGUCCGGGAUGAUCCCACAUGCCGCGGAGCAACUAAGCCCAUGCGCCACAACUACUGAGCCUGCACUCUAGAGCCUGUGAGCCACAACUACUGAGCCCACGCGCCAGAGCCCAUGCUCCGCAACAAGAGAAGCCACCGCAACGGGAAGCCCGCGCAACCCCGCGCAACGCAACGAAGAGUAGCCCCUGCUCGCCGCAAAUAGAGAAAGCCCGCCCGCAGCAACGGAGAC